AAAAUCCGUCGACUUUAAAAAUCNUGAGGGUUCAAGUCCCUCUAUCCCCA
rnacentral:tRNA from 1 species